rnacentral:rRNA from 1 species
CCUACGGGAGGCUGCAGUGGGGAAUAUUGGGCAAUGGGCGCAAGCCUGACCCAGCAACGCCGCGUGAAGGAAGAAGGCUUUCGGGUUGUAAACUUCUUUUAAGAGGGAAGAGCAGAAGACGGUACCUCUUGAAUAAGCCACGGCUAACUACGUGCCAGCAGCCGCGGUAAUACGUAGGUGGCAAGCGUUGUCCGGAUUUACUGGGUGUAAAGGGCGUGCAGCCGGGAAGACAAGUCAGAUGUGAAAUCCCGCGGCUCAACCGCGGAACUGCAUUUGAAACUGUUUUUCUUGAGUACCGGAGAGGUCAUCGGAAUUCCUGGUGUAGCGGUGAAAUGCGUAGAUAUAAGGAAGAACACCAGUGGCGAAGGCAGAUGACUGGACGGCAACUGACGGUGAGGCGCGAAAGCGUGGGGAGCAAACAGGAUUAGAUACCCGAGUAGUC